ACGGCUCAGUAACACGUAGAUAAUCUGGCCUCAGGUCGAGGAUAACCACGGGAAACUGUGGCUAAUACUCGAUAGAAGAUAUCGUCUGGAAUGACACUUCUUUGAAAUUCGAGCCUGAGGGUGAGUCUGCGGCUGAUUAGCUUGUUGGUGGGGUAACUGCCUACCAAGGCGAUGAUCAGUACGGGCCCUUAGCGGGGUUGCCCGGAGACGGAAUCUGAGACACUAUUCCGAGCCCUACGGGGUGCAGCAGGAGUGAAUCUUUUACAAUGCGCGAAAGCGUGAUAGAGCGAGCCAAAGUGCUUAACUUUUUGUUAAGCUUUUAUCGGUUGUAAAUAUACCGAUGAAUAAGGACUGGGAAAGACCGGUGCCAGCCGCCGCGGUAAUACCGGCAGUUCUAGUUGCAACCAACAUUAUUGGGUCUAAAACAUCCGUAGCUUGUUUCGUAAGUUUCUCGUGAAAUCUCAUAUCUCAAGUAUGAGGCGUGCGAGAAAUACUGCGAGGCUAGAGAUCGGUAGGUGUAAGAAGUACGCGAGAGGUAGUGGUAAAAUACGUUAAUCUUUCGUGGACUCACAAUUAGCGAAGGCAUCUUACAAGGACGAAUCUGACAGUGAGGGAUGAAGGCCAGGGGCGCAAAACGGAUUAGAUACCCGUGUAGUCCUGGCAGUAAACACUGUUCACUAAACAUUGGGGCCUCUUCGGGAGGUUUCAGUGCUGAAGCGAAGGCGUAGAGUGAACUACCUGGGAAGUAUAGUCGCAGAUCAAAACUUAAGGAUUGGCGGGGGAGCAC
rnacentral:rRNA from 1 species